rnacentral:rRNA from 1 species
UACGAAGGGGGCUAGCGUUGUUCGGAUUUACUGGGCGUAAAGCGCGUGUAGGCGGGUCGUUAAGUUGGGGGUGAAAUCCCGAGGCUCAACCUCGGAACUGCCUUCAAGACUGGCGGCCUGGACUCAAGUAGAGGCAAGUGGAAUUGCGAGUGUAGAGGUGAAAUUCGUAGAUAUUCGCAGGAACACCAGUGGCGAAGGCGACUUGCUGGGCUUGUAGUGACGCUGAGACGCGAAAGCGUGGGGAGCAAACAGG